AGACCUGUUCCUAGAAACAAUGGUCUUCAGUUUGUUUUAGUUAAUGAGAAGAACGAGGGAAUCCAAGGAUCUUUUCUAGAAGCAUACUACACCACAAUAAGGACUGGUAUAAUAAUCUGAAGUUUACCUUAUCUAUUCGAAAUGAGAUGUGGGAAAGGAAAGCAAAUCACUUCUACACACAAAAAGACAUUGAUCAGGUCC